AAGGGCACCACAAGAACGCGUGGAGCAUGUGGCUUAAUUUGACUCAACGCGGGAAAUCUUACCGGGUCCGGACACACUGAGGAUUGACAGGCAAUAUUAAAAUAUCUAUUACACUCUCGCAGUGCUAUUAGUAUUUUAUGUUAAAUAUGCUAGUCCUUUCAUGAUUAUGUGAUAGGUGGUGCAUGGCCGUUCUUAGUUCGUGGAGUGAUCUGUCUGCUUAAUUGCGUUUCACUAAGGACCUAUACAUUUACGUGUGUUGCGGCACUUUGACCCCUCUUUUCGGAGAGCGCGUGUCUUAGUCUUUGCUUAGCUCGCACAAUUAGGUCCUGAAAGCAACGAACGUGACCGCAACCUCUUGUUGCCUUUUGAUACCAACAGCAUUUCUCCACUUUUGUGGGUGUUUUGCUGCAAAAAGGCUUUCUAAACUAGAGGGACCGCUGUUACUUUCUUAAACCAGAGGAAGGUUGCGGCAAUAACAGGUCUGUGAUGCCCUUAGAUGUUCCGGGCUGCACACGUGCUACAAUGAUUAUUGCAGUGAGCAUCUCAUUUUUGAUACACCGCAUGCGCGAGCCGCAUUUAUUUCAUCUUCGGGUGACUUUAAGUGUGUUCUGCUCUGCGCGCGGUAAAGCCUGCUUCGACAGUAAGUGGGUAAUCAAUUAGAAGUAAUGAUUUCCCUUUUUUUAGCACUCAUAUAUAUGGCGUCUAUGCCCGGGUUGUACUUUGUUGCAACUUCUGUGCGUAUAGAUGUUGGACACUUUUUUUGUCCAUUCCCAUAUGUGCAAUUGUCAAUUCAUGGUGGGGACAGACCAUUGUUAAUUGUUGGUCUCGGUCUUAACUAGGAAUGCCUUGUACGGGUCUUUGGUUCAACAAACCACCCGGAAUACGUCCCUGCCCUUUGUACACACCGCCCGUCGCUCUUACCGAUGGACUUCUCUGUGAGUUUGAGGGACUGGGAACGCAGUAUGUAUUUUAUACACUCUGCACGCCUAUGGAAACUUAAACGAACAGUGUGGUCUAAAGGAAAGAGAAGUCGAACAAGGCAUCGGUAGGUGAACCUGCAGAAGGAUCA
rnacentral:rRNA from 1 species